GUCCAGCCUGCCCAGUGACUUUGUUCAACGGCCGCGGUAUCCUAACCGUGCGAAGGUAGCGUAAUCACUUGUUCUUUAAAUGAGGACUAGUAUGAAUGGCCCCACGAGGGCUGCACUGUCUCCUUUUUCUAAUCAAUGAAACUAAUCUCCCCGUGAAGAAGCGGGGAUAACCCUAUAAGACGAGAAGACCCUAUGGAGCUUUAAACAAUAGAAACACUUGCUUUUUUCUUAACCUCUUCCGAGCUCUUUAUCUUACUUAAGCAUUUUUAUUUCUAGUUUUAGGUUGGGGUGACCACGGAGCAGAACUUAACCUCCAUGAAGAAAUGAAUAUUUUUUAAGCCGCAAACUACUCUUUUAAGCAUCAACAAAUUGACUUUCAUUGACCCAAUAUAUUGAUCAACGAACCAAGUUACCCUAGGGAUAACAGCGCAAUCUACUUCAAGAGCUCAUAUCGACAAGUAUGUUUACGACCUCGAUGUUGGAUCAGGGUAUCCUAGUGGUGCAGCCGCUACUAAUGGUUCGUUUGUUCAACGAUUAAAACCCUACGUGAUCUGA
rnacentral:rRNA from 1 species